rnacentral:lncRNA from 1 species
CAGGUAGCAAACGUGUUUUUUAAGGAGGUGGUCUCUAGACUAGUUGGUUCAUUCCAUGAUCGUUGCCGUAUAAUAUAUGGACCAGGGGUUCCAGUUCAUGAAAGUACAUAUCAACAACGGGUGUGAAAACUGGUGUUUUGUUUGUUGAUGAAAUGAAAACAUGAGGGGCCAGUUCAAUUUUCCAAGUGCCAGUUGGUCCUAUUGCAUUCUAAUCUUGAGUUAAUUCAAAACUUGAGAAAUUGCUGAUUCAGCCUCCCUGGUAUUCCCAAUCUUCUCAGAAUUACUAAAUUUACAUCUUUUGGUUUCUUCUGGCGGGAAUACGUUGGGGCCCGAAAUGUGACUGUUCUGGUUAUGCCAUUUCAUUGUAUCAUAUUGCCUCAACUAUUACUUGAAUCAGUUCAUAAGGUAUUUUGACUAAUGUUUUUAGAAGCUUCUGUAGAAGGAUAAAUAUUCCUUUAAUUUACAUUAAAGGUAUAUGGAUGCUAUUGAUCAAUGUAACAUACACCGUACUUUUUAUUUAUGAAAUUUAAUAAUUGGGACUAGCUAGUCUUGAUAAAAAAAGAAUAACAAUUACUGGGCCUAGCUCAACAGCUAUCGGUUCUUUUUCAGUUGAGCGAGCUCUCUUGUAUUUACCCCCAGUUGGGAUGUAUGUGCUUCUGGAGAACAAGGGUUUUGUGGAUGAAGGAAGUUGGAUGCUUUUUGACUUAGGAAGCCAUGACAAAUGCUGUUUGUCCCUCUUUCUAAUAAAUGUGAAAUGAGAACUUGAUUUAUUUUUACGGAUUUUAGAUCGUAUAAGGUUGUAACAAACUUAUGGUUGCAGAAAUUUCAUGUUAAUUUUAGAUAGUAUUUCUCAAUCACUAAGUUGCUGUUUCUAUUAACCAUGAAUUGGAGUUAGUUUGUGGACUUGGGAGCAUAUAUUCGAACUCCAUGUUACAGCAAUUUGACAGUUUCAUGAUGCCCCUUUGUAUUUAGUAAAUGAGAAAAUCACUAGAUGAUGCAAUAACAUCUUUAUUG